CAGUAGCCGCGGUAACACGGAGGGGGCUAGCGUUGUUCGGAAUUACUGGGCGUAAAGCGUGCGUAGGCGGUUCGUUAAGUCCGUUGUGAAAGCCCCGGGCUCAACCUGGGAAUGGCAAUGGAUACUGGCGAGCUAGAGUGUGUCAGAGGAUGGUGGAAUUCCCGGUGUAGCGGUGAAAUGCGUAGAGAUCGGGAGGAACAUCAGUGGCGAAGGCGGCCAUCUGGGACAACACUGACGCUGAGGCACGAAAGCGUGGGGAGCAAACAGGAUUAGAUACCCCCGUAGUCCCUGUCUCUUAUAC
rnacentral:rRNA from 1 species